AUUUGCCUAUGGUAUAAUGUUCUAAAAUUGAAUUUUGUUAAAUAAGCUAUAUUGUUUAUUAGCAUAUUUGUUAAACUUUGCCUUUGCAAUGAAUUUAAUUUCCUCUUCUUUUCUAGUUUUGAUUACACAGUUUUCAUGCUAUCUUAAAGCAGUGUUUCCCAACCCAGUCCUCACGGCACACCUACCAGUCCAGUAUUUAGGGAUUACCCAGUUGUGUCUAAUGUGUUUUUUUUCUUCUUUGCAAAAACACCUUAGACACAACUGGGUAAUCCCUAAAUCCUGGACUGGUAGGUGUGCCUUGAGGACUGGGUUGGGAAGCACUGUCUUAAAGGACCACUAUAGUGCCAGGAAAACAUACUUGUUUUCCUGGCAAUAUAGGGUCUCUCGGACCCCCCACCCUCCGAGUCCCCCUCCCGCCGGGCUCUAGGGGGUGGAAGGGGUUAAAUCUUACCUGUUUUCCCCCGCCGGGCUCCCUUGGCGCGGGGAACUCUCCUCCUCCUUUUCGCUGUCAUCGACUGAAUGCGCAUUCAGCCAGUCCAUAGGAAAGCAUUCUCAAUGCUUUCUUAUGGACGCUGGCGUCUUCUCACUGUGAAAAUCACAGUGAGAAGCGCGGAAGAACCUCUAGCGGCUGUCAAUGAGACAGCCACUAGAGGCUGGAUUAACCCAUUUGUAAACAUAGCAGUUUCUCUGUUGCUCUGUUGCUAUGUUUACAGCAGAAACUGUUAAACCUAGAAGGACCUGGCACCCAGACCACUUCAUUAAGCUGAAGUGUUCUGGGUGCCUAUAGUGGUCCUUUAACUGACAGCGGUUUGACUUUUGUUUUUAUCUCUUCAUUUUGAAAUUAUUUAUUAGAAAUUGAAAUGAAAGACUGGAAACUUUCACAGAUAUGUUUAAUUAAAGAGACAUGGGCUGAUUUAUUAAUGUUCUGUACAAGUUCCAAUAUGACUUUCUCAGAUGCCCAAAAAUCAAGCAACUUCAUCUGGUCUGUGUUUUAUUCCAAAACAAAAAGAAAGAUUUAUUUGACUCAUGCACUUCUCUGGCCAACACAGUUAUUGAUUAGGUAAAGCAUACUAUUUCAAAAUUGUUUUAUACUUUUUGCUUCCUUGACAACUCAUGUACAACAAACAGAAGAUAAAGAUAAACAUGCCCUCGGUGGGUUACCAUUUAGGCUACCCCUUUAUUAUUUACAUAGGGAUAGUAAACGGAGCCAAGCAAAUUAAGAGUUUCAUGGACCCUGUCUAACCCAUGGGCCCAAGCAGUCAUAUAAGAUUUCCCUUUGGUUAAUCCUCCUUAGGUCUACAAAGAGGGUUAUGAGUCCUGAGAAAUUGAGAAUAGGCAAGAUGAAGGGUUUAACCCCUUAAGGACACAUGACGUGUGACAUGUCAUGAUUCCCUUUUAUUCCAGAAGUUUGGUCCUUAAGGGGUUAAAAGUUCCACAAACUUGUUCAGCAUUUUAUUAAAACUAACCAUUCAAAAAUGAGGUUGUGCCACGAGUUUUUUCUAGUAUUUGUUUAGCCUUUUGUCUUGAUGGGGUGAUGUCAAGUACAUCUGCGUUGUACUCAAAUGUUGUGCUUAAAUGUUACAAAUAAGAGCUGUUUAUCUAUAAUCCCCAUCUGUCUUGAUUACACAUUAUUAUUUCCAGGUCAAAGUGUAUGUUUAUGAAGAAAUUUAUGUUUUGAUACUAUAGAGCUGAAACUCUAGUCUUCCUCAAUAAAAAGAAACUCUCCAAGCACUAUAACCCCUAUAGCUCACUGUUGUGGUUUAUGGGCAGGAGCACUUUGCCCACCCCACUCCGCAUUGUAGGGAUUCAAGCUGUUAUUGAACGGUUUGCUUUCUCACUUUCCCAACCUCCACAAUACAAGUCUUCCAAGAGCUGGAAGUUCCUCACUAGGAACUUUAUUUAGCUCUCCUGAGCUAAGCCAUACAAUGCAGAGAAUGGUCCUCUGUUGCUCUUAGCCAAUGAACUAAGCCCUGCAAUGCAGAGCUUCUGAUGGAAGUUCCUGCUGAUGAAUUUCUGUUGCUCUGGGAAGUAGUGAAGUCAAAAUCAUCCCAAGCAAUUGACUCCUUAAAAUGGGGAGGAGGCACCAUUACUAAUUACCAAUACAGCGAGCUGACUAUAGAGCAGUUUAUAAAGUACCCCUGUUAAAAAUGCUAUCAGAAGUAUCUUUAUUGUAAAUGAAGGCAAUUUAAAAGAUUUUAUUAAAGGGACACUCAAGGCACCCAGACCACUCCUGUCCAUUGGGUGCCAACUCCCACUACCCUUAACCAUGCAAGAGUAAUUAGUGCAGUUUUUCAUAAACUGCACUAAUUGCCUAACAGGUUUAAGUCCUCCUCUAGUGGCUGUCUAUGAGACAGCCACUAGAGGAGCUUCUGGGUUCUUAAAACACUUUUAGUGUUUUAAGAGAUACUGGAUGUCCUCACGCAAUGCAUGAGGACCCCCAGCGUCGCUGUAAUUCCCAUAGGAAAGCAUUGAAUAAUGCUUUCCUAUGGGGCGGUGUAAUGUGCGUGCGCUGUCGUUGCUGUACGUGCGGGCAAUUGCCGCGCAUGCGCAUUAGGUCUUCCCCGCCGACGUCAGUGGAGCCUGACCCAGCACCGAGGGACAUCGGUGGUUGGAUACAAGUAAGUCACUAAAGGGCUUUUAACCCCCUCAGCAACCUGGGGGGGACCUGCAGUGCCAGGAAAACGGUUUGUUUUCCUGGCACUGGAGAGUCCCUUUAACUAAUCAGCAAGUUAAAAUAAAGAUCAACCAUUACUAUGAAACAUGAUGACAAGGACUGUUUUACCACAACCAUGUAGUAUGUAGUAUAAGCAUUCCAUAAUGAAACAAUCCUAGCUAUUGAAAAUAUGCUACUACUAAGGCAGAAUGGAUUCUUUCUAUAAAAAAGGAACAGUUAUUUUCAAACAAAUUUAAUUUGGGGGGAUGGGGAAAUCUACACUUCAUUGCUCUAUUCAAAAAAAAUAAUGUUUUAUAGUCACUGUAUUUAUCCCAGGAAUACAUUACAAUUAUUAAGAUGUUCAUAUUCAGGCUUACAGUAGAUGCUUAAUAUACGAAUUUAUCAUUAGAAUAAACAUUUAAAUCUAUAUUUGGACAAGCAUGGUAGGUUUGAAUUGUUUACACCUGAACAGAAAAAAAUAAAUCAACAUAUACAUUUACUUAAAGGGGAUCUGUUACUUUCGAUGGUCUUUGGCUAUUCCUCACAGUCACCGCCAUAUUUAUGGUGCUCAGCUGCCAGGACUCACCAUAGACAGAGUCCGAAUCCCACAGCCAUUAUUUGUGAUUGGUGUUGGGAUUGGACAAAAGUCGAGCUCUACCUUUUGUCAACCUCAGGCUUCACCAUAAGACAAAGUAGUCAAUAAUUUGUGUCAUGAUAUUUUUGGAUUGCAUUGGAAAUUCAAUGAAAUUCCAACUCAGUCUUGAUUAGUAAGUAUUUCAUAAAGAUUAUAUCUGAAUGAAAUUCAGAAAAGUAAGAAAUCCGCUUAAAGAUUUCAGUAUGUACCUUUGGCGAGCUCUGGCAUAAAAUACUAAUUUCACAUGAGCCCAAAUGUAGAUCUCCAGAUGCUUAAGAACUACAACUUCUAUGAUAAUUUUGCAAUCUAAAAUCUGUUAAAGUAUCAAGGGAGUUGUACUCAUACAACAUCGGGAGUGCACCUGUUGUGCACUUCUGCCCUCUCUAAUACAGCAUUUCCCAUUUUAGGUUUAUUUUGAGUAAUCAAGCAUGGAUCCUCAAAACUAUGUAUUUUUCCUCUACUUGCUACAAAUAAAUCAAUGGUUGUUAAAACAAUAAAAACUAAAAAACUAUUUGGUCUCCCCAGGGACUCGCAACGCACCUGGACUUCACAGUGUUGGAGAAGCCAUAUGCCGAUGUAGGCAUUCAUUGGCUGAUAACAUCAGUUAUGUGCUCUCAGUCAUUAAAUAUGUUAAAAGUGACAUUGGCCUUCUUCAGCACUGAAAAGACCAGAUGCAUCACAGACUCCUAACAGAACCCAGUUAUGUGUCAAACUGAUCUAAAAUAGUUGAUGAAACAAGGGCAUUCAUGGCACCAUAAUGACUACACAAUGACAAAUAGUGGUUAUGAAGCUUGGAGUAUUCCAUUAAUUGUAUCAUGCAUUGUGUGUAUAUAUAUAUAUAUAUAUAUAUAUAUAUAAUCACCAACAUUGCUGCUAUAAAGUCUACAUGUUUAUUUCAAUGUGUUAUAUUCUUUGAGUAGGGUCCAUAGUUAUUUGUUAUUAUUAUUUUGCUUUGUAAAUUGUACAUUAUUUUAUUAGACUAUAAUGUAAGCAAAAUGACAAUCAUUUGACAAGUUGUUUGUAAAAGUGUACAUAUGCAAUAAUUUUUUCUACGUUUUAUAUAUUAUAAAUGCUGUAUACCCAAUGUUUGCAUAAAUCUAUGCUUUUAUUUUGUAUUUUAACAUGUUUUUUACUGUGUUGUUGCAUUAUGUUUUAUAGAUUUUGUUUGCUUUCUGCUUGUGUAUCCAUAGCAUACCUUAUGCACAAGCACCCAUGCAUACAUGCAGUAUUUCCCUACAGUAUUGGAACAUUUUCAGAAAUUGCAAAUGUAAAAAAAAAAAAAUACAACUUAAAUAUAUAAGCAUGAAGUAAUAUUUUGUAUCACAAUAAAAAUAGUGUUUAUCAG